AGGACGAACGCUGGCGGCGCGCUUAACACAUGCAAGUCGAGCGAGAACCCACCUUCGGGUGGGGGAAAGCGGCGAACGGGUGAGUAACACGUGGGCAACCCACCCUUGGUAUCGGGAUAGCCCGGGGAAACCCGGAUUAAUACCGGAUGGCCCAGCAGCUCUUCGGGGCGGCUGGAAAAGGUAGCUUCGGCCUCCGACCAAGGACGGGCCCGCGGCGGAUUAGCUUGUUGGUGGGGUAAUGGCCUACCAAGGCGACGAUCCGUAGCUGGUCUGAGAGGACGAUCAGCCACACUGGGACUGAGACACGGCCCAGACUCCUACGGGAGGCAGCAGUGGGGAAUCUUGCGCAAUGGGCGAAAGCCUGACGCAGCGACGCCGCGUGGGGGAAGAAGGCUUUCGGGUUGUAAACCCCUUUCAGGUGGGACGAAGCCACUCGGGUUAAUAGCCCAGAGGGUGACGGUACCGCCAGAAGAAGCCCCGGCUAACUACGCGCCAGCAGCCGC
rnacentral:rRNA from 1 species